rnacentral:rRNA from 1 species
GACGAACGCUGGCGGCGUGCCUAACACAUGCAAGUCGAACGGGAGCAAGUGCUUCGGUAUUUGCUUUAGUGGCGAACGGGUGAGUAACGCGUGAAUAACCUGCCUUUCAGUGGGGGACAACAGUCGGAAACGACUGCUAAUACCGCAUAAGCCCACAGCACCGCAUGGUGCAGCGGGAAAAGGAUUUAUUCGCUUCAGGAUGGACUCGCGUCCAAUUAGCUAGUUGGUGAGGUAACGGCCCACCAAGGCGACGAUUGGUAGCCGGACUGAGAGGUUGAACGGCCUACAUUGGGACUGAGAUACGGCCCAG